AGUGGAACUUCGACAAGCUGCAGACGGGGGACAUCGUGGAGGAGAUCGCCAUCGGGAGCUCCUCCCUCUUCACGGCCCCCUUCAAGAACGGCUGCAGCGGCGUGCAGAAGAUGCUCCGCUCGUCGUUCAAGCGCGGGGAGACCUCCAUCUCGGUGCGCGUCCGGCGAGGGAGAGACGAGUCCGUGUCUCUCCACGCUUGCAUCGUCCCCCACGAGCAGGCCGGCAGGAAGCACUACAUGCUCCGCUCCAUCGACGAUCCCAACUACGCCGUCGCCUUCGUCGAUCGCCUGGAGAGCGAGUGCAUACAGCUACAAGGUGAGAAAAUCCCGCGCCGACCGAAAAUUUGUCGAGCAGUUCGUUCCUUCUGACCUGCUCGUCUGCUUGAUCUUUCACGAAAAGCUUCGAGGAGCUCGAGGGUGGCCUCCGCGCUCAGCAGGACGCAGUUGCAGGACGGGUACGUAUCGUACCCAUGGGAGAAGAAGAUGAGGGA
rnacentral:lncRNA from 1 species